CCUUCUCCCUCUGCCCCUCCCCCUCCUUUUCUCAAAAAAAAAAAAAAAGCUGUCAUACUUAAGAAGUACAAUACAAUAGCCAAAAGAAAUGACAAAGGAAUUCUACUCCUUCCUCAUAUCUCCUGGACAGUGAAGCAGAUCUAAGCACACAAUACACAGACGAUCCCUUCCUCACACACAUACUCCACACCCUUGGCUCAAGUUCCCGACCCCCCCCAAACCCUCCCCCUCCUCUGCAUGUGCUGUUAUUUUUCUCUUCUGUCCAUGCCAUCUGUUCUUUCCUUCUGUGGAACUUAGCUUCUCUCCCAGUAAGAAAGAAUACUUUCUGGAUAGAGGAGGAAAAUCAGAUUGGCAUCUUUAGGAUUUCUCUUAGAUGCAUGAAGAACGAUGAAGUCUUUCACAUGCUCUAAAGUGGGAAACACAAUGAAAAUGUCAUAUAUUACCAUGAUUUUUGUAGUCACCCACUAAUUAUCAAUGAUAUAAGGUCAUGGAAUAGAUACGCCUUGUACCCCAAACAAAUCACUUAGCUGCUAAAAAGUACUCCCAGGUCUUUAAUAUUGUGUUUUAUCCAUUUUAGGACCCCCUCCUCCCCAUCUUUUAACAUUUCUGAAAUAAGAACAUGCCUUUCAAUGAAUAAUGUUUUAGAAUCACCAUUAGCCCGUUUCCCCCUCCCCCAUUUUAAAGUCUCUGGAACCUUCUCAUCAGGGAGGUCUGAACUAGGAUGAGGACGAUUGAUUCCACCUGUUUGGCACUGACUGCCGAGCGCCACAGUGAGCGCAAGACCCUAAUGCAACUGGGGGCAGGGUUUCCAGGUCACUGUUGUGGAAGAGGCCGGCGGGGGAGCAGCUUGUCCAUGAAGGGGAGGGACUCCUGGAGCAGGGGUCAGGCCUGUGGCCAUCUGCUCUUGGGGUCUGGUAGCUCACCUGACUUAGGAGACCCAGGUGAAAGGGAGCCUCAGGACUCCAUUUAAACCUCGUUGUGCGGCGCACAUCCCGCUUCAGGAUUCCUUGCCGGGCACCUGGGAUUCCUCCCCACCCAAUUCCAAUAUCAGGCAGCUGGUCCUAGAGAUACAGACCAUGUCUGAAGUCAGGCCCCGCAUUCCUGUGACAUUCAGUCUUGUAGCCCCUGCAGGCACCUUAAGGGACCGCAAUUCGAAAUUGUACGAAACAAUUGCAACGAUGCUGUGGCGUCCUGCCAGGAGCCCAGGGGUGCCGGGAAGGUGCGACCCUAUUAAGAAGGUAUUAGAUGUGGCCAUCCUAGUCCCCGCACCUGCAGCUAUCCCCCAGCAACACCUGAAUCCGUGGUGCCCAGAAUCUCAUGGCAAGGGCGGCCUGUUCUUCCAUCCUCCUCCAGCCUAAACCUGAGUCUUGCAUCCACCUGAGCCAAAGACACAGCAGUGCUGGGAGAGAGAGUAUAGCACGAGCAAGCGGGGGUAGAGACGGAGGGAGAGAAUCUUCAAGCAGACUCUCCAAUGAGUGCGGAGCCUGACAUGGGGCUUGAUCCUGUGAUCCUGAGAUCCUGACCUGAGCUGAAACCAAGAUUGGAUGCUCAACCGGCUGAGCCACCCAGGAGCAUGGAGAGGAAGUGAUUUGAAGGGAUUGGUUCAUGUGCUAUGCGGCUGACACAUCCAGAAUAGUGUUUGACUACCUCCGUGGGCACCAUGGGCCAGCCAAGCUGACAUAGAAGUUAACCACCACAGAGAGGGCUCCUUUGAGAAAUCAGACGACAACCAGACGACUGGCAGCGCAGAGUUCAAAUUCCUAUGGUAGUUGAAUUGAGUUGCAGUGGUUGAGAAGAAGUCCUCAGCUCAGGAGGCGCCUGUACGGGAUCUCUGCAGUCCCUACCACCCCCUAUUGCCUGCUGGGCACUGGGAUUUUCCUUAGGCUCAUUGUGCUCCCUUCCUUUACAUUUGCUGCCUGCCUCUGGAAUCCCUGCUGUAGACCAACGUUUCCUUUACCGAGGAGGAAACAAAGGCCCACAGAGGGGAUCCAUCUUGCCCAAGAUGAGGUGAAUGAGGACUUGAACCCAGGGCUUUUCCUACACACCCAGUCUCUUUUCUCCACACCUGGAAGAGAAAGCGUUGGGAAGCCGUGCUCUCCGGACACCAGUCUAGUGUGCUGUCCAUCGUUAUCUUCGGAAUGCUACAAGGACUCCGGGCAAUAGGAACCAGAAAGGGAAUGUGAAGGUGACGGUGAUAAGAUUUUUUUUUUUUUUUAACAGUAAGAGACUGUGACUCGGAGAGGAAAAAAUUUCCCCAGUCACAAAGAUCAAGGAAGCAAAAAUGUGGAAGAGAAAGAGGAAGGAAAUUCAAGCUGCCCCAGAGUCGGAGCUGUCAGAAACACCAAAAUCCCCCCAGACUGGGAAACAUAAUUAUUACAGAAAGCCUUGCUUCGAUCGGAGUCUGGGGACUGUCAACAUUGAGAAACUUUAGAAAUUGCAAAUUUUUUUUGUAGAUGAAAGAUAAAAACACACUUGGAUGGGGAAAGGGGAAGUUCUAUUUUUGAAGUGGACACUGAUCUGGAAUAAACACUGCCCUAAAAAUCAGACAGUGAUACAGGCACCCUGCUUCAAAGCUGAAAAAGAAACUUGAUUUGCAUUAUCUUACAUGUUACAAAAAGCUUCGAAUUGUUUUAUGGCCAAAGGGGUCUGUUCUCCUUUUUGCUCCCCUGAUGGCAUCCUGUGAUCUCGGAGAGAGAUGCUUAAAUGCCAGGAAGCUGCUGGCAAUGUCUCAGACCAAAUAUCCAUGAGAAUAGAUGACCUUGUUGGCACAAAGUGGCUUUCUUUCUCACAAGGGUGGUUUUCUUGUUUGUUUUUUUGUUUUGUUUUGUGUUUUUUUGUUUUAUUUUGUUUUUUUGGUUUGUUUCUAGCACGUGUUUGUAGAAAUUAGUUCCUCCAGGACGGGAAUCUUCCACCUCUGUUAGUUUGGGUCUUUACUGAGCUCUGAAGGGCCUGCGAGGCAGGAGAUGCCCCUGCUCCCCCGAGGGUGGGUAGUGGAGCCUCUGAGCUUUGUGGUCUCUGCACUCCCAGAGCUGACCUGGGCUUACUGUGCGCUGUGACUUACUAAGGCUGGAUACGCUACGAUGUUUUCAACAAUUUCUGGUAGCCUUUUGCUUCUCCCAAUAUUACUUUUUAGUUGACUUACAACGUGGCCUGGGCAGUGGGCCUUGCAUAUAUGUCCCUCUGAAAACGCCACACUGUGUGCAAAAGUUUUAUGAUUAGCAGAACUUGAAUUUAUGUAGCGUGCGGAAACUGUCUUAAAACAUUCCCUGCUCCCAUAACCUGUUUUUCACACAAAGUCAGCCUUGGGUGGGUUCUCGGAAGACUCUCUUCUGUGGUUCCGUCCUCGCCUUCCUGGGCAGGCCAGGAUCUCCAGGGAGACGCUGAGAAGUGGUUGUAGCUGCUGUCAUGUCCCUGGUCUUCAAGGCACUGCUCUGGGCCCACCCAGUUUGGUGCACUCACCCUUUCUUAUUACAUGUGGGGUAGGUUUUAAAAAAAGUAUUUUCUUCUUUUUCUAGUUGACUAUUUUUUUAUCAUGGUAGAUGUUGAAUUUUAUUGAACGCUUUCUUCAUCUAUUAAGAUGGUCAUGAGAUGUUUUUCUUUUGCUCUGUUAUGCAGUCAAUUCAUCCCGUUGUACUGUCUUUUUCCUUAUGUAUACGUGGAUUCAGUUUGCUGGUGUUUAUGAUUUUGUGUCACGUUCAUGAGUAGAAUUAUCCUGUAGCUUUCCUUUUCCACACUGACCUUGGUUGUUGGUACGGGUUAUGCCAGCCUCAAAAAGUGAAAAGAGUCAUGCAUUUUUCUUUCUUCCUUUUUUUUUUUUAAAGAUUAUUUAUUUAUUUAUUUAUUUGACAGAGAGUGACAGCCAGCGAGAGAGGGAACACAAG